rnacentral:rRNA from 1 species
AUGCAUGUCUAAGUAUAAGCAAUUAUACGGCGAAACUGCGAAUGGCUCAUUAUAUAAGUUAUCGUUUAUUUGAUAAUACUUUACUACUUGGAUAACCGUGGUAAUUCUAGAGCUAAUACAUGCUAAAAAUCCCGACUUCGGAAGGGUUGUAUUUAUUAGAUUAAAAACCAAUGCCCUCUGGGCUCUCUGGUGAAUCAUAAUAACUUGUCGAAUCGACAGGCCUUGUGCCGGCGAUGGCUCAUUCAAAUUUCUUCCCUAUCAACUUUCGAUGUUUGGGUAUUGGCCAAACAUGGUGGCAACGGGUAACGGAGGGUUAGGGCUCGACCCCGGAGAAGGAGCCUGAGAAACGGCUACUACAUCCAAGGAAGGCAGCAGGCGCGCAAAUUACCCAAUCCCGACACGGGGAGGUAGUGACAAUAAAUACUGAUACAGGGCUCUUUUGGGUCUUGUAAUCGGAAUGAGUACAAUUUAAAUCCCUUAACGAGGAACAAUUGGAGGGCAAGUCUGGUGCCAGCAGCCGCGGUAAUUCCAGCUCCAAUAGCGUAUAUUAAAGUUGUUGUGGUUAAAAAGCUCGUAGUUGAACCUUGGGCCUGGCUGGCCGGUCCGCCUCACCGCGUGCACUGGUCCGGCCGGGCCUUUCCCUCUGUGGAACCCCAUGCCCUUCACUGGGUGUGGCGGGGAAACAGGACUUUUACUUUGAAAAAAUUAGAGUGCUCCAGGCAGGCCUAUGCUCGAAUACAUUAGCAUGGAAUAAUAAAAUAGGACGUGUGGUUCUAUUUUGUUGGUUUCUAGGACCGCCGUAAUGAUUAAUAGGGACAGUCGGGGGCAUCAGUAUUCAAUUGUCAGAGGUGAAAUUCUUGGAUUUAUUGAAGACUAACUACUGCGAAAGCAUUUGCCAAGGAUGUUUUCAUUAAUCAGGAACGAAAGUUAGGGGAUCGAAGACGAUCAGAUACCGUCGUAGUCUUAACCAUAAACUAUG